GAUGAACGCUGGCGGCGUGCUUAACACAUGCAAGUCGAACGGUAAGGCCCUUCGGGGUACACGAGUGGCGAACGGGCGAGUAACACGUGGGUGAUCUGCCCUGCACUUCGGGAUAAGCCUGGGAAACUGGGUCUAAUACCGGAUAGGACCCUGGGAUGCAUGUCCUGGGGUGGAAAGCUUUUGCGGUGUGGGAUGGGCCCGCGGCCUAUCAGCUUGUUGGUGGGGUGAUGGCCUACCAAGGCGACGACGGGUAGCCGGCCUGAGAGGGUGACCGGCCACACUGGGACUGAGAUACGGCCCAGACUCCUACGGGGGGCAGCAGUGGGGAAUAUUGCACAAUGGGCGCAAGCCUGAUGCAGCGACGCCGCGUGAGGGAUGACGGCCUUCGGGUUGUAAACCUCUUUCAGCACCGACGAAGCGCAAGUGACGGUAGGUGCAGAAGAAGGACCGGCCAACUACGUGCCAGCCGCCGCAGUAA
rnacentral:rRNA from 1 species